rnacentral:rRNA from 1 species
UACGUAGGUGGCAAGCGUUAUCCGGAAUUAUUGGGCGUAAAGCGCGCGCAGGCGGUUUCUUAAGUCUGAUGUGAAAGCCCACGGCUCAACCGUGGAGGGUCAUUGGAAACUGGGAAACUUGAGUGCAGAAGAGGAAAGUGGAAUUCCACGUGUAGCGGUGAAAUGCGUAGAGAUGUGGAGGAACACCGGUGGCGAAGGCGCUGCUCUGGGCCGAAACUGACGCUGAGGAGCGAAAGCGUGGGUAGCAAACAGG